rnacentral:rRNA from 1 species
UACGGAGGUGGCAAGCGUUGCUCGGAAUCACUGGGCGUAAAGGGCGCGUAGGCGGGGAGGUAAGUCGGGUGUGAAAUCCCUCGGCCCAACCGAGGAACUGCGCCCGAGACUGCUUCUCUUGAGUCCCGGAGAGGAAGGUGGAAUUCCCGGUGUAGCGGUGAAAUGUGUAGAGAUCGGGAGGAACACCGGUGGCGAAGGCGGCCUUCUGGACGGUGACUGACGCUGAGGCGCGAAAGCGUGGGGAUCAAACAGG